rnacentral:rRNA from 1 species
UACCAGCACCCCGAGUGGUCGGGACGUUUUAUUGGGCCUAAAGCAUCCGUAGCCGGUUCUACAAGUCUUCCGUUAAAUCCAACUGCUUAACAGGUGGGCUGCGGAAGAUACUAUAGAGCUAGGAGGCGGGAGAGGCAAGCGGUACUCGAUGGGUAGGGGUAAAAUCCGUUGAUCCAUUGAAGACCACCAGUGGCGAAGGCGGCUUGCCAGAACGCGCUCGACGGUGAGGGAUGAAAGCUGGGGGGAGCAAACUGG